UACGUAGGUGGCGAGCGUUGUCCGGAUUUACUGGGCGUAAAGAGCGCGCAGGCGGUCGUUCAAGUCGCGUGUGAAAGCCCCCGGCUCAACUGGGGAGGGUCACGCGAUACUGAUCGACUCGAAGGCAGGAGAGGGAAGUGGAAUUCCCGGUGUAGUGGUGAAAUGCGUAGAUAUCUGGAGGAACACCGGUGGCGAAGGCGGCAUUCUGGACCGAAACUGACGCUGAGGCGCGAAAGCCAGGGGAGCAAACGGG
rnacentral:rRNA from 1 species